UACGAAGGGGGCUAGCGUUGCUCGGAAUCACUGGGCGUAAAGCGCACGUAGGCGGAUCGCUAAGUCAGGGGUGAAAUCCUGGAGCUCAACUCCAGAACUGCCCUUGAUACUGGAGAUCUUGAGUCCGGGAGAGGUGAGUGGAAUUGCGAGUGUAGAGGUGAAAUUCGUAGAUAUUCGCAAGAACACCAGUGGCGAAGGCGGCUUUCUGGCCCGUUCUUGACGCUGAGGCGCGAAAGCUAGGGUAGCAAACGGG
rnacentral:rRNA from 1 species